rnacentral:rRNA from 1 species
AUACGUAAGGGGCAAGCGUUAUCCGGAAUUAUUGGGCGUAAAGCGUACGUAGGUGGUUUUUUAAGUCCAUGGUUUAAGACAGUGGCUCAACCAUUGUAUGCCGUGGAAACUGGAAAGCUUGAGUGCAGGAGGGGAAAGCGGAAUUCCUAGUGUAGCGGUGAAAUGCGUAGAUAUUAGGAGGAACACCGGUGGCGAAGGCGGCUUUCUGGACUGCAACUGACACUGAGGUACGAAAGCGUGGGGAGCAAACAGGAUUAGAUACCCUGGUAGUCCACGCCAUAAACGAUGAGCACUAGAUGUUGGGACAGCGAUGUCUCGGUAUCGUAGUUAACGCAAUAAGUGCUCCGCCUGGGGAGUACGCGCGCAAGCGUAAAACUCAAAGGAAUUGACGGGG